rnacentral:rRNA from 1 species
GUGUCAGCCGCCGCGGUAAAACGUAGGAGGCGAGCGUUAUCCGGAUUUACUGGGUGUAAAGCGCGUGCAGGCGGCCGGUCAAGUUGGAUGUGAAAGCUCCUGGCUCAACCGGGAGAGGACGUUCAAAACUGACCGGCUGGAGCAUGGUAGGGGAAGGUGGAAUUCCGGGUGGAGUGGUGAAAUGCGUAGAGAUCCGGAGGAACACCAGUGGCGAAGGCGGCCUUCUAGACCAUGUCUGACGCUCAGACGCGAAAGCUAGGGUAGCAAACGGGAUUAGAGACCCCGGUAGUCCUAGCCGUAAACGAUGUGAACCAGGCGCGUGGCCGGUCAAACGGCUGCGUGCCGCAGCAAACGCGAUCAGUUCACCACCUGGGGACUACGGCCGCAAGGCUAAAACUCAAAGGAAUUGACGG